UCGUGCUAGAUGGGGAGCUAGCGGUGCCCUGUAACCCGAGAUCCGCUUAUGCGGGGUUGAAAGUCCUUCAUGAGAACCAAGAUCGGGUAUUGCCCUUUAAUCGCUUUUGGAGAUAAAGUGGACCUCACGUGACAGAUGCUUACGGACCCCGUCAGAUCCGGGAGGAAGCAGCGGUAAGUAAGAGAGUCUGUGUCGUGAUGAUAACUACUUUUUUUCUCCGGGUGAUGAGGAUAUCCUGGUUAUGGUUCGAAUAAGGAUGCACGA
rnacentral:SRP_RNA from 1 species